GUACAGCUUCUUCAAACAAUGCUUGUUUGUUUGCUUUCUAUUAAGAAUACACAGUACUCUGUUAUUAAACUUAAAACUUUCUGCUAUCUUGGUAAGCAUAUUUUUCUGCAGUCUUAAGGUCUAUCUUGGCCAAGCCUAAAGACUCAACUAUUGUUUUACAUCCUUGCAUGUUAUAUUAUUGUAUCUUCUUUACUUUCAGGCCUUGCAGCUGCAGCUAGCUCUAAGUUCUCUGCUUUUUAGUUUCUGAGACCCUCUUUUACAGCUUCUGAAAGCCUUCUUGCCUUUACUGUUUCCCACAGAUGUGGGGCUGCUAGGCAGCUACCAAAGGAAGCUGAGGGCUGCAAAAGGAAUUCUCCCCUGAGGAAUUUAUUGUCUGGGGUACAGCUAGUCUUGACCCUAAAGUGCUCUGGGAGGGCUGUGGCUGGUCUUUGGGACAGGAGGUGUAGUGGAACCCAGCUUCUUUGGACAAAGCUGACUGGGUAGAAGUAGUAAUUUGAGGGUGUCUGGAAAGAGCCCAGAGCUCAGGCUUGUGUUUCUCCUGGCCUUGUGGAGCAGGGCUGAGAUUGGGGUAAAGUGGCCAUUAGGGCUUUGAGAAGGAGGAACAAAAAUCAGUCCCUUCUGAGCAGAAUCCUGUGGUGAGCUCCACAUGGUACUCUGCAGAAACCUGGGCUCUGCUGUACACCUUUCCUGUAACCCUUCCUUCACCUUGACCUUCUUUCUUACUGUAGUCCCAAAAAUCAAGUCUGGCAGAGUGCAGGUGGUAAGUGCUGGUCUAGAUGUGCUUAUCCAGUCUUCUGAGAACCCUACCAACCCUUAUGUCCACUACAAUCAUAUAGUACAUAAGAGAGAAGUCAUCUAUCUUCAGCUCUGUAAAAGAAAGAGAACAGCAGCAAGGUGUGGGAGUCUAGCAGCAGCAGCAACUGUUUGGCUUUGGAGAACAGUUGGCUCAGUCACUGAACAGAGUGGAUUUAAUUUUAUGAAGAGAUUGCUUUUGAUGGAGACACAGAAGUGUUCACUGGGGGAAAGGCUGGAUAGUUACAUCUGCUCUGAGAAGUGA
rnacentral:lncRNA from 1 species